rnacentral:piRNA from 1 species
UAUACUGUAAGAUGGAGUGGAAAGGA